UGCUAUGACUGUGCCAACUUCAGCACGAGAUGGGCAUUGCUCCCGCCCUAAUGAUACACUCGGACCCUCAGAGCUGGACCGUUCACACUGUCAGCAGCAUGUUAGAGAAAUGUCUCAGAUCUGGCAUAGGAUGAAAUGUGGCAAUGAAACACCUACAUCUAUUAGCAAAACCUGUUGUCACUCUUGGUGUAAGCAGUUGACUUCUUGUUUCAGUCAGUUGCCUUUUUGGAAAGAAGACUGUGUUAGAAUGUGGAGGUGCAGGAAAAAUGAAAAACCUCGCAAACGGAUUUCUAUUAUAUUGACAAAUACAACAGACUCGUCGUAUUUGGGCAGAAUCAAAGUGAAACAGUGCUGGAAACUGAAUUUUCCUGCCAUUAAGAUAACACCAUCAAGCGAAUUUUCAAACAAGAAACUUGUUUACACCAUCCUAAAGGAAUUGAUUGGCUCUUCUGGAAAUGAUGUAAAUCAAGAAAAGAUGGAGCGCACUUUCCUCACUGUCACUAAUU